UUCCUGCAUUUUUUUUUUUUUGAUAAAAUCUCUGAGAGAAUUGCCCAAUCUUCUAGAAAGUAAGCUCCAUGAGGGAAAAGACUUUACUGGUUUUAUUGUUUUAUAUACAGGGCCUAAAGCUUAUACUGUAGGGCUAAAUGAAUAUUUGAUUUGUAGUGAAUGAAUGAAUGAAUGAUUUUUUUUACAUUGGCUAUGGCAGUAAUUUAUUAGAUAUGUCACCAAAAAGAAUGAAUGAAUUCUAUAGUUCAGUGUCCCAUAUAUAAAGAGCUACCUAAAUGAAUCUUUUCUAAGAUUUAUUACAGGGAAACAGUCUGUCUUCCUGAAUAAACUUGUGUGCUUCUUUCCAUUAGACAGUAAGAACUUAUUUUCAAGUUCUUUGAAUUUCUAGGAAGAGCAAAGUGGGAUAAUUCCAAGAAUAUCUUAAUUGGUCUUUGUCUUUCAAAUCCUCUUUUAAACUGCCACCGGAAUUACCUUGGAAUUACCUUCCCAUACGCCACAAGGUCACAAGAUUAGACUCUGUGCUCCUUUUUCAUUCAAGCCCCAAUCUAUUUUUUCUAAUAUUCAAGCUCCAUUUUUCCUUAUAUUUGCCCCCGAUCCUUCACUCUCUCCCUUGCCUUUACCCACCUUUGUCUGCCAUGUUUCAGCCAUAAGAUUUUCUCCCACCCUCAACAUACCUUGUUUAUUUCCACCUCCACCAUCUUCCUGAUGUUGGUUCCUUCACCUUGCAAUGCCUUUUGCUCUCAUUAUUCCAGGUAUUGCUGCCCUUAAUUCCCAAAUCAGAGACCUCAUCCUUCGAUCUUGCACUGCCUGUGUUUGAAUCAAAGUUGUUUUGGUGUUCCUGUCAUGGCUCAGCAGAAACAAAUCUGACUAGGAUCCAUGAGGACGCAGGUCUGUGCUGUCAUGCAUGACUGAUGUUCAUACUUUAAAGAAAAACAUUAAUUUUUCUCGAGUCCUUUUUUCUACCUCAAAGAAAUUUCUGGCAGAAACGGCACGUAUCAGUGAUUCCAGUCUACCACCUAAGUGAAUAGUGAUCACGAUGCCUUAAAAAGGCAAGUGGACAAAGCCCCCAAAAUAGUUUCCCCAAAUUNAGCUGUUAACCACAGAGUUCUAAUAGAUUGAAUGGUGAUUUAUCAUUAGCAGUAGAUAUGUCUUCUUAAUGCAUAGUCCUCAGUUUUGCUCUUUUGCAUACUAAGGCACAUAAAGCAACGUAUUUUCCAAAAUAUUAUACUCUUCCUACCAGUUGGGGACAGACUAGCACUUAUGGGGGAUUCUGCAAGUUUACAUUUUAAUUAAAUGAGAAUAAAGUACCCAGUCCACACCUGGCA
rnacentral:lncRNA from 1 species